rnacentral:rRNA from 1 species
UACAGAGGAUGCAAGCGUUAUCCGGAAUGAUUGGGCGUAAAGCGUCUGUAGGUGGCUUUUUAAGUCCGCCGUCAAAUCCCAGGGCUCAACUCUGGACAGGCGGUGGAAACUACCAAGCUGGAGUACGGUAGGGGCAGAGGGAAUUUCCGGUGGAGCGGUGAAAUGCGUAGAUAUCGUUUGGAACGCCGAUGGUGAAAACAGGUCGCUGGGGUUGUGCUGACGCUGAGACACGAAAGCCAGGGGAGCGAACGGG